GGGGGUGGAAGCAUCAUCGUUCUCUCUGCGCCUGCAUCACACACAGAGUUAAAUUUCCCCCCCCUUUUGACCGUGCAUAGGCCCCCCUAUCUUUAGAUCUUUAAAUGGAAACUUGUCUGAGUGGGUGGACGAAGAAAAAGCUGUCUCUCCUAUUAAAAUUGAAAUUAACUUCUAAGUGAAAAGGCUUAGAUUUUCUAGAGGGACGAUAAGACCCUAUAAUAGCUUUAUAAAUCCAGCAAGUUAGAACAAAUUUUUUAUAAUAAAGGUAAAUUUAAUAUAUUUAUUUGGUGGGGGGGACAAUGGUAUAAUAUUAAAUAACUGCUACUAAAAUUAAACAACUAUAUUUGACUAAAAUUAUAAUUGAUCCUUAUAAUGGAUUAAAAGAUCACGUCACUUUAGGGAUAACAGCGUAAUUUCUUUUAAGAGUUCUUAUGAAAGAAGAAGCUUGCGACCUCGAUGAUGAAUUAAAAUGUCUUCAUCGCGCAGAAGCUGUAAAAGAAGGUCUGCGCAACCUUCAAUUAUUUACGCGAGCUGAGGCAGACCGGACUUUAUCAGAGGUGCCACCCCUUAUUGAACGAGGCAUACUGAGCAUCCCCUUAACUACCCUGCCGAUUCAUGUUGUACCUCCGCUUACAAAUACCCUCCACCUUCUGCGUGUAUGCCUUCCGUGAGUCUAUAUCCACGGAGGUGCUCUUUCAUCCUAUCUCUCACCCCAUCCCCUAAUCCCAAUCCCCAGUCAUUCAGCUGUUCCCCUUCCGAUGAAAC
rnacentral:rRNA from 1 species